AAAAAAAAAAAAGCUCUUCAUGGAGAGACAACACAAGUUACCUAACCUACAAAAAGAAAUCUUCUCACAACCCGAGAGGCUAUGUCAAAACUCACAAGGUACAAAGAAAUACACAAAGUAGGCACAAUUAUGGAACUUCUCACAACCCCAGAGGUUAGGCACAUAAAACACACUUACCGGCAAAAAAGUUGAUCUAGUGGUGUUUCUUGGCCUAAUUUUGAUAAUGUUGUACAUAUGCCUUUCUAUAAUUGUAUAGAUGACAGUCAGUCAUCUAUACGAUUUCAUAGACCACCAGAUAAAUAUAAUAUUUAGGAAUUAUAAUCUCGCUGGUCUCACAUUGCUAUCGGAAAAUAUUUUAUUUUAUUUUGUUUUGUUUUUGUUGACAAGUGUGUAUUUCAUUAAGCAAAAUGGUACCAAAUGGUGCCACCCAAGCACAAAAUUAAAAAAGGAGGAUCCCGAAAACCUUAGGAAAGAAAAAUAGCAAACUUUACAACCCAACUACUCAAAAGACCCUACAGAAUCCAAAAAUUGAUCCAAGUAUGGCUCAAUACAUUUGAGUUCCAACUGUAUUAAGUAGACAAAUACUAUCACUAGAGCUUAAACAACACCUCCACACCUUUAAAGGUUCUAUUCCGCUCUCAUGAAAUGAUCCACAAAAGAGCAAGGGCCCUCCUCCCCAAAACUAUUUCUGAUGACACUUUGUUCUUUAUUUUUGUUUCUCAUGUCUGUGAAGAAAAACAUUGAUUCUCUAUAUACCUUGCUAUUUAUUUUUUGGGUUUUGCUAGAUGGUUGGAUCCAUAUCACUCCUGCUAUCUCUUGUUUGUAUUUCUGAAAAAACUAUAGCACUAGCUUUUGAACUUGAGUUUUACAAAAUACUAACAUGUUGAUUGUUGUUUCCUACUAUCAAUUUCCACAUUAUCCUUUCCAACCAGUUAUUGGAAUGGAAUGAGGAACAAACUGAAGAACAAGGGGGAGCUGAAUCACCUCCUGUUGUUGCUAAUGAUCCCUGUGCACAAAGUUCCGGAAAGAAAGAGGAUAAUCCAGUUAAUGGUACUGAAGAAAGUGGAUGGGGGCAGACUUCUGUGACUAAGCUAAGGAGUAAAUUCUUGUGGUGACUUGUUCAUAGUUUCAUUGAGCAUCACUGUUCUAGAAUACAUUAUAUGACCCGUAUCACUUUAGAAUCUGAUGUCACAUUUAUAGCAAGUACAAAACAUUCUCAACUAUUAACCACUUAAUUAACUUAGGCAUUCACAUAUGAGAGGAAUAACAAACUUGUAUAUGCAAAAUUCAAAGUUAUACCUAGGGUACAGACAUACCGAUGGGCCCAAAAAAAAAAAUACAGCUAUGCCACCUUAAUGCAAUAGCAAUUGGAAUGAUUUGAAUUGUUGAUGAAAGAAAGAAAACAGGCAAUAUAAUGCAUCCUAAUCCAACAUCUGUGAGAAUGUCCCACUGUAAUUUCCUUUUUGGAUAUUGAUUAUCAUAUUGAACCACAGGAGAGUACAAUUAUUAUGUGUUUUAUGUAGCAAUUCUCGUACUCCCCAGUCAACUAGAUGAGCAGUAAAAAAAAAGAGUAUAUCGAAUAGACGAACCAACACCCAGUAAGGUACUCUUACUGGGCCUAUUGACUGUGCAUGCUGAUUGGAGUGUUGAGAGUUGUUUGAAGGUUGAGCCUUUUUGGAAUUGUACAAGUCUGUUGUUUUCUGCCUGUUUGUUUUGCUGGUGCUAUGUUCCUGCUGCUGUCUCUGUUUGACUGAGAAAUUGUUCAUGUUUGCACCUGUUUUGUUCAACCCCCCAUAGUCUUUGGUAUGUGGUGUUUGAACAAAUCUUUCCUGUGAAUGUGUUCAUAUUGUCUUAUUGAGAAGUGAAUGGUUCAUAUAGCCUUUUAUGUUGAUGAGACCAAGAGUUUUUUAUGUUGAUACCCUUACUCAAAAAGAAAAGAAAAUACCUAAAGAAGGUGAAUAUUAUUUCCUAACUGAAAUUAACUGCGUCUAGGCAUUCUUAGUAUAUAUUACGAUAACGUCGCAAAUCAUUCAUGAACUUGAUAUUUUAAUACUUUACUCUUGUUACUUUAAGUGCGCCUUUCUUUCUCAUUCUCGUUCUUGAAUUUUCUUUGCUUUUGUGCUUUUAAUAUUUUAAAAAUCAGACCCAUUCUUUGUUUGUAAUUUGUAUACAUGUGCAAGAAAGCAAUUGAUAGGUGCUGGUUCUAAAAAUCUGUAGGCCUCGAUAGUGCAUCAAAACUCUUGACAAGAAAUGCAACAGGGUUAGUUGCUCCAGCUAUUGCCGUGGGUUUAUGUGCCUUAACACAUACAUUGGGCACCCCCGUCCCUAUGAUAGGAGCAAGUGGAUUUGCUAUAGCUGCAGUUGCAAUUGCUAUAGGAAUUGUUGUCGGUAGUUUUAGAUAAUCGCUUAAUAGUUGUUGAUAUGUUUAGAAAGUUAGAUAUGCAUAGUUUUGGAUAGUUUAAACUUUUUAUACAAUUUAAAACUUAAGGAUAUAGUUUUCGAAUGUUUGGAAUGUAUAAAUAAUUGUUGAAUGUUUAUAAUUUAUGGAUAUAGUUUCUUUUUGA